GGCGAGUGAAGCGGCAACAGCUCAAAUUUGAAAUCUGGCUCUUUCAGGGUCCGAGUUGUAAUUUGUAGAAGAUGCUUUGGGUGUGGCUCCGGUCUAAGUUCCUUGGAACAGGAUGUCAUAGAGGGUGAGAACCCCGUAUGUGACUGGCUGCCUCCCCCGUGUAAAGCUCUUUCGACGAGUCGAGUUGUUUGGGAAUGCAGCUCAAAAUGGGUGGUAAAUUUCAUCUAAAGCUAAAUAUUGGCCAGAGACCGAUAGCGCACAAGUAGAGUGAUCGAAAGAUGAAAAGCACUUUGGAAAGAGAGUUAAACAGUACGUGAAAUUGUUGAAAGGGAAGCGCUUGCAAUCAGACUUGCGCGCGGCCGAUCAUCCGAGGUUUUCCCCGGUGCACUCGACCGCGCUCAGGCCAGCAUCGGUUUCGGUGGUGGGAUAAAGGCCUUGGGAAUGUGGCUCCUUUCGGGGAGUGUUAUAGCCCUCGGUGCAAUGCCGCCUAUCGGGACCGAGGACCGCGCUUCGGCUAGGAUGCUGGCGUAAUGGUUGCAAGCGACCCGUCUUGAA
rnacentral:rRNA from 1 species